UACGUAGGGUGCAAGCGUUAAUCGGAAUUACUGGGCGUAAAGCGUGCGCAGGCGGUUGUGCAAGACAGAUGUGAAAUCCCCGGGCUCAACCUGGGAAUGGCGAUGGAGACUGCAAGGCUAGAGUUUGGCAGAGGGGGGUAGAAUUCCACGUGUAGCAGUGAAAUGCGUAGAUAUGUGGAGGAACACCGAUGGCGAAGGCAGCCCCCCUGGGUCAAAACUGACGCUCAUGCACGAAAGCGUGGGGAGCAAACAGG
rnacentral:rRNA from 1 species